UGGGGAAUAUUGGGCAAUGGGCGCAAGCCUGACCCAGCGACGCCGCGUGAGGGAUGAAGGUCUUCGGAUUGUAAACCUCUUUCAGUGGGGAAGAAGCGAAAGUGACGGUACCCAAAGAAGAAGCACCGGCUAACUAUGUGCCAGCAGCCGCGGUAAUACAUAGGGUGCAAGCGUUGUCCGGAAUUAUUGGGCGUAAAGAGCUCGUAGGUGGUUUAUCACGUCGGAUGUGAAAUUCUGAGGCUCAACCUCGGACCUGCAUUCGAUACGGGCAAACUAGAGUGUGGUAGGGGAGACUGGAAUUCCUGGUGUAGCGGUGGAAUGCGCAGAUAUCAGGAGGAACACCAAUGGCGAAGGCAGGUCUCUGGGCCAUUACUGACACUGAGGAGCGAAAGCGCGGGGAGCGAACAGGAUUAGAUACCCUGGUAGUCCGCGCCGUAAACGGUGGGCGCUAGUUGUGGGAACCUUCCACGGUUUCCGCGACGCAGCUAACGCAUUAAGUGCCCCGCCUGGGGAGUACGAUCGCAAGAUUA
rnacentral:rRNA from 1 species